rnacentral:rRNA from 1 species
AUGUAUGUCAUAUUACGUUGAAAGCACCAGUUCUCAUCCGAUCACCAAAGUUAGGCAACAUCGAACCUAGUGAGUACUUCGAUGGCUGACCGCUUGGUAAACCUAGGUGCUAUAAGUG